rnacentral:rRNA from 1 species
UACAGAGGUGGCAAGCGUUGUUCGGAAUUACUGGGCGUAAAGGGCGCGUAGGCGGUCUUGUAAGUCUUGUGUGAAAUCCCUCGGCUUAACUGAGGAACUGCACGGGCUACUGCAUGACUUGAGAUCGGGAGAGGGAAGCGGAAUUCCGGGUGUAGCGGUGAAAUGCGUAGAUAUCCGGAGGAACACCGGUGGCGAAGGCGGCUUCCUGGACCGACACUGACGCUGAGGCGCGAAAGCUAGGGGAGCAAACGGG